AUUGAACGCUGGCGGCAGGCCUAACACAUGCAAGUCGAGCGAGCGGCGGACGGGUGAGUAAUGUAUGGGGCUCCGCCUGAUGGAGGGGGAUAACUACUGGAAAGUGUCGCUAAUCCCGCAAACCAUCAGAUGAACCAAUAUGGGAUUAGCUAGUAGGGGAGGUAACGGCUCACCGAGGCGACGCUCCCUAGCUGGUCUGAGAGGAUGAUCAGCCACACUGGGACUGAGACACGGCCCAGACUCCUACGGGAGGCAGCAGUGGGGAAUAUUGCACAAUGGGCGCAAGCCUGAUGCAGCCAUGCCGCGUGUAUGAAGAAGGCCUUCGGGUUGUAAAGUACUUUCAGUCGGGAGGCGUUACCGACAGAAGAAGCACCGGCUAACUCCGUGCCAGCAGCCGCGGUAAUUC
rnacentral:rRNA from 1 species